UACGUAGGGGGCAAGCGUUAUCCGGACUUACUGGGUGUAAAGGGAGCGUAGACGGCAGAGCAAGUCUGAAGUGAAAGCCCGCGGCCCAACUGCGGGACUGCUUUGGAAACUGCCCGGCUAGAGUGCUGGAGAGGUAAGCGGAAUUCCUAGUGUAGCGGUGAAAUGCGUAGAUAUUAGGAGGAACACCAGAGGCGAAGGCGACUCACUGGACUGUAACUGACGCUGAGGCUCGAAAGCGUGGGGAGCAAACAGG
rnacentral:rRNA from 1 species